rnacentral:tRNA from 1 species
CGGCGCGUAGCGCAGCCAGGGAGCGCACUACGUUGGGACGUGGAGGACGUGGGUUCAAAUCCCAUCGCGCCGGCCA